GAUUGAACGCUGGCGGCAGGCCUAACACAUGCAAGUCGAACGGUAACAGGAAGAAGCUUGCUUCUAUGCUGACGAGUGGCGGACGGGUGAGUAAUGUCUGGGAAACUGCCUGAUGGAGGGGGAUAACUACUGGAAACGGUAGCUAAUACCGCAUAACGUCGCAAGACCAAAGAGGGGGACCUUCGGGCCUCUUGCCAUCGGAUGUGCCCAGAUGGGAUUAGCUAGUAGGUGGGGUAACGGCCCACCUAGGCGACGAUCCCUAGCUGGUCUGAGCGGAUGACCAGCCACACUGGAACUGAGACACGGUCCAGACUACUACGGGAGGCAGCAGUGCGGAAUAUUGCACAAUGGGCGCAAGCCUGAUGAAGCCAUGCCGCGUGUAUGAAGAAGGACUUCGGGUUGUAAAGUACUUUGAGCGGGGAGGAAGGGAGUAAAGUUAAUACCUUUGCUCAUUGACGUUACCCGCAGAAGAAGCACCGGCUAACUCCGUG
rnacentral:rRNA from 1 species